rnacentral:rRNA from 1 species
GGCCGCGGGAAUUCGAUUAGAGUUUGAUCCUGGCUCAGGCCGAUCGCUAGCGGCAGGCUUAACACAUGCAAGUCGAGGGGCCUCGGGAGGGAAGCUUGCUUUCCUUGCCGGCGACCGGCGCACGGGUGAGUAACACGUAUGCAACCUGCCCUCUUCACGGGGACAACCUUCCGAAAGGGAGGCUAAUCCCGCGUAUAUCGGUUUCGGGCAUCCGUUAUCGAGGAAAGAUUCAUCGGAAGAGGAUGGGCAUGCGGCGCAUUAGCUAGACGGCGGGGUAACGGCCCACCGUGGCGACGAUGCGUAGGGGUUCUGAGAGGAAGGUCCCCCACACUGGUACUGAGACACGGACCAGACUCCUACGGGAGGCAGCAGUGAGGAAUAUUGGUCAAUGGGAGAGAUCCUGAACCAGCCAAGCCGCGUGAGGGAAGACGGCCCUAUGGGUUGUAAACCUCUUUUGUCGGAGAACAAAACCCGGGACGUGUCCCGGACUGCGUGUAUCCGAAGAAAAAGCAUCGGCUAACUCCGUGCCAGCAGCCGCGGUAAUACGGAGGAUGCGAGCGUUAUCCGGAUUUAUUGGGUUUAAAGGGUGCGUAGGCGGUCUGUUAAGUCAGCGGUAAAAUUGCGGGGCUCAACCCCGUCGAGCCGUUGAAACUGGCAGACUUGAGUUGGCGAGAAGUACGCGGAAUGCGCGGUGUAGCGGUGAAAUGCAUAGAUAUCGCGCAGAACUCCGAUUGCGAAGGCAGCGUACCGGCGCCAGACUGACGCUGAGGCACGAAAGCGUGGGGAUCCAACAGGAUUAAAUACCCUGGUAUUCCACGCCGAAAACCAUGAAUGCGGGUUGUCCGGUUCAAAUGAAAACCUGGG